GAUGAAGAACGCAGCGAAAUGGGAUAAGUAAUGUGAAUUGCAGAAUUCAGUGAAUCAUCGAAUCUUUGAACGCACAUUGCGCCCCUUGGUAUUCCGAGGGGCAUGCCUAUUCGAGCGUCAUUAUCACCCCUCAAGCCUAGCUUGGUGUUGAGGCCUGCUGUCAAGGCAGCCUCUAAAAUCAGUGGCAGUGCUGUCAGGCUCUAAGCGUAGUAAAUCUAAUCGCUAUAGACACCUGGUGGACACUCGCCAGAACCCCCCCAUUUUUUAAUGAUUGACCUCGGAUUAGGUAGGGAUACCCGCUGAACUUAAGCAUAUCAAUAAGCGGAGGA
rnacentral:misc_RNA from 1 species